rnacentral:rRNA from 1 species
UGGGCGCAAGCCUGAUGCAGCCAUGCCGCGUGUGUGAAGAAGGCCUUCGGGUUGUAAAGCACUUUCAGUCGUGAGGAAGGCGGUGUCGUUAAUAGCUGCAUUGUUUGACRUUAGCGACAGAAGAAGCACCGGCUAACUCCGUG